UCAGAAUAAGCAUAGCUAGGAAGGAAUGUUUGAAUAAUGCACUAUUUUUUUCCUCAUGAGAUAAAAAAAGAAGAAGAAAAUAUUCUUUUAGAGUAGCAGCAGUGGAUGAAAAAAACUCAAAAAAAUUGGAAACGUGAAAAAGUGCAAAACCAGAGGGUGAGGAACGUGUCGGUAGAAGAAGGGCUGGCUCGCUCUCGUUCGAUCAGAUCAAAUACUACCGGAG
rnacentral:lncRNA from 1 species